rnacentral:lncRNA from 1 species
GUUUCCUUAACUGCAACAAGCACCCCUUCAACAAUUGAUUAUGCUCCCGACUUCGAUGACGGAAUAGUAGGUGCCGGACACACCGCCACUUGUGGUACUUCGUGAUGUAACUGUCCGUGCGGUGAAAUAGUCCGAGGAAAAAUGGUCCGAGGCAAACAAUUUGUGGUACGUAGGGUUCAAAACCCAACUGUCGGAUGUAUAUGGGGACCUGGAAGAUGGUGUAUAGUUCCUCGGGAUGGUCCGUAGGCUUUGCUAAUUCUACUUUCUCCUCAGCUCCUUCGAUCCACGCAUCAUCGUCAGAGUAUUCUAUGCCCCAUUCUUCCUCCGAUUCUUCGCCCCUGUUGUGACCUAAUUUAUAAUGUACGUGGCCAAGUAAGUUACUAUAACUUCUAAGAGAAAUUAUCUAACAGGCAUUUAGUUCAAAAAUUAUAAUAAUUGAUUUUCCAUGCGAAAAUUCCUCAGUUGUUGCGAGCAAACUGCUUUGAUUAUACAAUAUCUUGCACAUGGGCCCAACAAAUUUGGCAAGAAACCUUUUGUAUUUAAAUUAUGGAAGUGAUGGUAUGCGAGUAAUCUCUAGGAUUUAAUUAUUUCUCAUGCAGAAACAAGCAAAAAUUAUAGAAUUAAG